rnacentral:lncRNA from 1 species
GGGAAAAAGUAUUUGAUCCUAUGCUGAUUUUGUAUGUUUGCCCACUGAUAAAGAAAGGAUCAGUCUAUAAUUUUAAUGGUAGGUUUAUUUGAACAGUGAGAGACAGAAUAACAACAAAAAUAUCCAGAAAACGCAUGUCAAAAAUGUUAUAAAUUGAUUUGCAUUUUCAUGAGGGAAAUACGUAUUUGACCCCCUCUCAAUCAGAAAGAUUUCUGGCUCCCAGGUGUCUUUUAUACAGGUAAUGAGCUGAGAUUAGGAGCACACUCUUAAAAUGGUGUAAAAUAGUCAUAUGUUUGAGAAAUUGAAGUUAUAGCAUUUUUUAGGUAUUUGUAUUUGGCGCCACGUUCUACCAUUGGAUAUUGGUGAGGCGUUCCGGCUGCGGAACGUCUGUCCUUUAACCACUGAAUGUGUCAUCAGUAGGUGUUAACCACUGAAUGUGUCAUCAGUAGGUGUUAACCACUGAAUGUGUCGUCAGUAGGCGUUAACCACUGAAUGUGUCGUCAGUAGGUGUUAACCACUGAAUGUGUCAUCAGUAGGUGUUAACCACUGAAUGUGUCAUCAGUAGGUGUUAACCACUGAAUGUGUCAUCUUCAGUAGGUGUUAACCACUGAAUGUGUCAUCUUCAGUAGGUGUUAACCACUGAAUGUGUCGUCAGUAGGUGUUAACCACUGAAUGUGUCAUCAGUAGGUGUUAACCACUGAAUGUGUCGUCAGUAGGUGUUAACCACUGAAUGUGUCGUCAGUAGGUGUUAACCACUGAAUGUGUCAUCAGUAGGUGUUAACCACUGAAUGUGUCGUCGGUAGGUGUUAACCACUGAAUGUGUCGUCGGUAGGCGUUAACCACUGAAUGUGUCAUCAGUAGGUGUAGGCCACAAUGAGUUAGCAGAAAGGAAAAUGGAGGGUAUAAAGGGGGCAAUUUUGGGGUACGACUCUCUUUGAGGUUCCUAGAAGAAUCUGUUGACUGCUGGAAGAAGAUUUUUGCUCUAGUUUUUUAGCUUAAAAUAUAUUUUGAUUUUAAAGUAAAAUUCUAGGAGGAUUCCUUAAGUUUACCCCAUUGAUAGAAAUGUGUUAAAGUAACGUUUUAGAUGCCAUCUGAGGGACUGAUCAUCCUGAGAGCCAAAUAAAAAACAUUUAUAAAGUUGUAGAAUGUAAGAAACUGUUUUUCUUGUUAUUAACAAUUGUGCUUCACAUAAAAUUGUAAUAGACAAUAAAUAUUGUAUUGGCAUCCCCACAAUGGUUGAGUUAAGGGCUGUGACGGGGUCGAUCAAUUUUAUUUACUGUUGAUGUUCGCUUAUCAUUGAUUGGUGAUAUUGAUUUGGUAUUGAUUGAUUGAUCUGGGAUUGUUUAUGCCUGUUUCUGGAAUUUUGAAUAAACUUGCUUUAUUGUUCUGAA